rnacentral:lncRNA from 1 species
UCCAAUCUGUCGAUGUGCUUCGGUGAAGAGCAGCUGAAGGUGUGACGGCAUGAACUGAAGGUAAAAUGUAACACGAAGUUUUGUGUUGCGAAGGUCUUAACCGAAACGAUUUCUUUUCCUGUCUCGUUCGUGCUUAGCAAAGUCUCAUCACGGCCAUCCGCCAGCGCCUGAGGAAAAUGAAGCCUACCUAUGAUCAGUGAUCACAUUCCAUCUCCAAAAGGACUGCAUUGCCACAAGGUUAACGGACUAAGUCAGCCUUGCAAACAACGUAAAACCACAAACAAAAUAGUCGGGCCGUUAAAAUAUUUUAUUAGUACGAAUCAACAAUCGACACAAGUUAAGUUGAGGAACUGUACAUUGAAAAACACAUAAUAAGGACAAGUCAAUCGGUUAGGCUAUUGCAGCAAAUAUUUGCUUGCAACUACAAAUAAAAUUACUGAUGAAAUCUCUUCAAUUAUCUGGUCAUUAGAAAUUGGGGCAGCUGAUUGGUGACGUCCGAGGCGGAUCCGGUGACGACAUUCAACGCGUGUCUCGGCCGUUUCCGCUGAUACUGUGCCAAUCCUAUGCCGGCUCGGCUGGUGUUGUGAACGAUGAAACAAUGGCAUGGAUGAAGAAACCUCGUUGUGCGCGGACUUCCGGAUCGUAUUUUAGCGGAAGGUUCUUCCACUUGGCGGAAGCACAACAUUGACAUUCAAAAUACUCGCAGUUGUGGCAUCGGAUCGUACAAUACGCAUUACAAGCAGUAACGUGUCGAAUAGCAGCCCAAAGAAGAACCAAUCUUAGUCUGUGGAAGAACCAUUUACUGCCGAUACACCGCAGCAACCAACGGGGCGAUUGAACUUGAAGGGCGAAAGAAGGUGGACAAGGAAGAGAAGUGAUUGAUGCCACAAGCAGGACCGAUCCAGUCUGCGUCUGCCGUACCUUACAGCCGUUGCUCUGAAUAAUCGGAAAGUUUGCAGCUAUAAUAAUUCUACUUCAACUUAAAGAUCCACAUUUGAGUUUCACUGUUCUGUUCGUGGAAUAAGUAUUUGAAAGAAGAUAAGGGUCACUUUACUUACGAAGGCAUUCUCUAACGUAACUAUAAAACAUACCGUUUUAGUUUGUUAGGUCAGUCAGUGUCACACCAAAUAAAUUUUAAAAUCAAAA